ACCCUCCUUGAGACAGCCCUCCAGUCCAGGCCAAAUCUCAGCCUGCCCUUGGUCCGCUGUGGUUGGGCCUGCACCCAAGCCAUGAGCACACGCAGCAAUUGUGGCAGCAGAAGCUUCCUCUGGGCUCAGACUCAGGCUGAUGCUGCGUCAGGACCUGCCGCGGUCUCGGCUGGGCUUCCUGGGACUCGGUGGUUGUGGGCUGAUUGUAAAGCACGGAAUGACUCUUAGAAACUGGGCGUCAUUCUUUGUGGUUUUCCAAGCUUGGUCUCUGAUGAUACUCCAGGUCUUAGGAGACAUGCUGAAUAUUUAUUAUGCUUACAUUCAAGCAACAUUAACCCUUAAGGUUGAUGUAGCUCCCCGUCUUUUUUUCCCAGAAGGAGGAGCACUGAAGGAACACUUUUCCAGUAUGGAUUCUUUCCAGCUCCGAGAAGCUGGAGGCACACGGAUCCCUCGGCCAGCUCUCAUCUAUGGACGUGCUGUAGUCACAAGGACUGUGACUAAGGCUCAGUCCCUGAGGACUGCCUUGGCAUGGGCUGCUUUAGGCUGUAAACACCCAGUUUUAUCCACUUUAUGUGAAGAAAGCCAACAAGGGGCAUGGAGUGAGUUCCGCAGGUUUUAGCGGCUGCGGCGGCUGGUGCUCAGUGGGGAUGAUGGCGGGAAGGCGCCUCCCUCUGUGGGCCCCGAGGUCUGUGCGGGAAUCAGCUCUGCAGCUGUGUCCAGGGGCAGCCGUAGACCACACACGGCAGGCUCACAGCUCUGUUCCAUGAGAACUUUAUACACAAAAGCAGACGGGCUGGGCUUGGCCUCUGGAUCAUAAUCUGCUGACCCCUGGGGCAACGUCGGCUGCAGCUGAGAUGGCUGCUCCCCGGUGGGGUGUGUGCUCGGCCUGCAGUCCCCGCCCUCCGGACUCCAUUCGCCUCCACUCUCAGGUUUGCACCUCGUCAUUGUCUUCUAAUUUUGCAUCCCUGGACUGCGUGACCUACAAGGCUCUCAGCACAACAAGACUCUAUGAUUCUGUCUAUUGGAACAAAAAGCCAGUGAGGCAAGUGUAUCAUCCUGUUGAUGAAUUCACAGCAUUAACUCUGGGAGUUGGGGACAGUGUGUAUUCUUCCUCCAGACACUCUCUGUUUCUCCUGGAUGGAAAGGUUCUGCUACUUGUCCCGUGGUCAGGCCCAGCCAAUGGAACGGAAUGGAAGUGACUCUGCCCCUUAUUGGCAGAAACUUUAAAAGCCGCACAACGUUCCUGCACCCUCCCCUCUGCCAUGAGCCUGGCAGUGCUCAGGAUGGGAAAAUUAUCUCACCUGGGCCUGAGGAUACAGGAGCUACCCCCAGCCUGCAGUGGAAGAGAAGCAUGGACAAGUGAUUAAACUUUGUGUUUUCAAGCCACAGAGGUUUUUUGAAGUUGUUUGCUACCAUGCUUUGUCCCUACAAACACAGUCAUGGAGAAGGCCAGUGGCAGAGCCUGAGCCGUUCGCGCAUCUGUUCACCAGUAUCCAGAAUAACAAUAGAUUUUUGAAACAUUCCUGAGAAAAUUCUGGGAGUUGCAUACCGGCCAGUCUUAUUCUCUAAAGUUGUUCCUUCUAAAGGGUGUGAUGACCGAAAAUUUCAGAAAAGCAAACCACCGCUGAAAGGCAACGUUAUUUCUGUUGGCAGAAGGCGGCCUGAGCAAUCUAGAUUUUCCACGGUUCACCAACUAGUUUUUAAGGAAAUAUGGCUGUGAGAGGAAUAAAACAUGAUUCCUACCUUUAAGGAACUCAGAGAAGUGAAUUAAAGGAAGUCACAGAUCAGACAACCAACCACACAAAGUUUCUAAGAGCAAACUGUUCAGGUCGGCAAGUCACUCUUAUCCACUGUUUUGCCUUCUAAGGUUUCAGUUACUCUCAGUCAGUCAUGGUCCAAAAACAUUAAAUGAAAAAUUCCAGAAAUAAACAAUACACACGUGUUAAA
ensembl:lncRNA FAM87B family with sequence similarity 87 member B